rnacentral:rRNA from 1 species
AUUGAACGCUAGCGGGAUGCCUUACACAUGCAAGUCGAACGAGUGGCGGACGGGUGAGUAAUAUAUCGGAACGUGCCUAGUCGCGGGGGAUAACUACUCGAAAGGGUGGCUAAUACCGCAUACUAUUGGAGCGGCCGAUAGCGGAUUAGCUAGUAGGUGGGGUAAAGGCACACCAAGGCAACGAUCCGUAGCUGGUCUGAGAGGACGACCAGCCACACUGGGACUGAGACACGGCCCAGACUCCUACGGGAGGCAGCAGUGGGGAAUUUUGGACAAUGGGGGAAAGCCUGAUCCAGCCAUCCCGCGUGUAUGAGAAGGCCUUCGGGUUGUAAAGUACUUUUGGCAGAGAAGCGGUAUCUGCAGAAUAAGCACCGGCUAACUACGUGCCAGCAGCCGCGGUAAUAC